CCUACGGGAGGCAGCAGUAGGGAAUAUUGCUCAAUGGGGGAAAGCCUGAAGCAGCAACGCCGCGUGGAGGAUGAAGGUUCUCGGAUUGUAAACUCCUUUUGUUAGAGAAGAAAAUGACGGGAUCUAACGAAUAAGCACCGUCAAACACCGUUCCAGCAGCCGCGGUAAUACGCAGGGAGCAAGCGUUAUUCGGAAUCACGGGGCGUAAAGAGGGCGUAGGGGGGAUAGCAAGUCAGAGGUGAAAGCCUAUGGCUUAACCAUAGAACUGCAGUUGAAACUGUUAUUCUAGAGUAUGGUAGAGGUAGGUGGAAUGCUUGGUGUAGCGGUGAAAUCCGUAGAGAUCAAGAGGAAUCCUCAUUGCGAAGGCGACCUGCUAGAACAUAACUGACGCUGAUGCGCGAAAGCGUGGGGAGCAAACAGGAUUAGAUACCCGUGUAGUC
rnacentral:rRNA from 1 species